GACGAACGCUGGCGGCGUGCCUAAUACAUGCAAGUCGAACGCAUUUUCUUUCACCGUAGCUUGCUACACCGAAAGAAAAUGAGUGGCGAACGGGUGAGUAACACGUGGGUAACCUGCCCAUCAGCGGGGGAUAACACUUGGAAACAGGUGCUAAUACCGCAUAAUUCCAUUUACCGCAUGGUAAAUGGAUGAAAGGCGCUUUUGCGUCACUGAUGGAUGGACCCGCGGUGCAUUAGCUAGUUGGUGGGGUAACGGCCUACCAAGGCUGCGAUGCAUAGCCGACCUGAGAGGGUGAUCGGCCACACUGGGACUGAGACACGGCCCAGACUCCUACGGGAGGCAGCAGUAGGGAAUCUUCGGCAAUGGACGCAAGUCUGACCGAGCAACGCCGCGUGAGUGAAGAAGGUUUUCGGAUCGUAAAACUCUGUUGUUAGAGAAGAACAAGGAUGAGAGUGGAAAGUUCAUCCCUUGACGGUAUCUAACCAGAAAGCCACGGCUAACUACGUG
rnacentral:rRNA from 1 species